AUGCACAUCGAAUCGUUGGGUCAGAAGAGAGCUGCAGGUACAUAUUUGGCCAUGUUUUCUCUGAGCAGGAAGAGGACACUGCGAUCUCAUCCCGCUUCAGUGCGUAAAUACUCGACAGGGUUCAGUUCAGCAAGAAGACCAAUUACCCCUACAAUGUCCAUUCCUACAACACCCUGGCUUGGCAAACAAGAAGACUCAAUGCAGGCAGCUGCUGAUAAGGAGAUGACUAUUGACCUCUCAGUAACGAAGACAAAAAUACGCACAACAAGCCAAGAACAGGAAGAUGAAGAAAAUCUAGGGCAGGCAGGCACUAUCCUUCUCCAUAGGCCACCUUUCGACGGGAGCUAG
rnacentral:rRNA from 1 species